GCCAUAGAUAAUGCCGUAGCACAACUAGGAGGCGCACAAGGGAUAGUAUCAAAAUUAUCAGGACCAUUAAAUUCCGAUAAAAAGAAG